CCUACGGGAGGCAGCAGUGGGGGAUAUUGCACAAUGGGGGAAACCCUGAUGCAGCGACGCCGCGUGAGUGAAGAAGUAUUUCGGUAUGUAAAGCUCUAUCAGCAGGGAAGAAAAUGACAGUACCUGACCAAGAAUCCACGGCUAACUACGUGCCAGCAGCCGCGGUAAUACGUAGGGGGCAAGCGUUAACCGGAUUUACUGGGUGUAAAGGGAGCGUAGACGGUUAUGUAAGUCGGGGGUGAAAGCCCGGGGCCCAACCCCGGGACUGCUUUGGAAACUGUGUAACUGGAGUGCAGGAGGGGCUGGCGGAAUUCCUGGUGUAGCGGUGAAAUGCGUAGAUAUCAGGAGGAACAUCGGCGGCGAAGGCGGCCUGCUGGCCUGAAACUGACGUUGAGGCUCGAAAGCGUGGGGAGCAAACAGGAUUAGAUACCCGGGUAGUC
rnacentral:rRNA from 1 species